CAAAUGCAUUCACGCCUGAGAUUUACUCUCAGGGGCUGGUCCUUCCUCAGCCACGUGGGAACUUAGACCCAAGGGGUCAUGGGAUGGGCCUGCUGUAAGGGAAUAUCAUAUGUAGGGACAACUCCACAGAACUCACCAGUUCCCAGAGAGAGCAGGCCAGCUACAACAAGCAGCGCUGGACAUAGCUGGUCCCUCCACUCCAUCUGAAAGCCAGCAAAUGAGGAGGCCUCUGGUCACUGUAGCUCCCAACUCCCAACUGUGUCACCAGUCUAGGCAGGAGGACAAGGGUACCCUCACCAAAGCAUGAAGUGCAACGUUAUGCAGAGGCCUCCUGAGCAGUUCUAACCCUGGCAGCUAUCAAAACUCAGCAUCAGAGCCACCCUUGAUCUACACCCUCUGCUAGACAAGAGCUGUGUUGCAACCCAGGAAGUGGUGAGAGCAGCAGGCCCCUAACCCUGUGAGGCCUAGGUUUUCCUUCCCUGAAGAUUCC